rnacentral:rRNA from 1 species
UAAUACGGAGGAUCCAAGCGUUAUCCGGAUUCAUUGGGUUUAAAGGGUCCGUAGGCGGAUUUUUAAGUCAGUGGUGAAAGCCGACAGCUCAACUGUCGAACUGCCAUUGAUACUGGAGAUCUUGAGUACAAAUGAAGUAGGCGGAAUGAGUCAUGUAGCGGUGAAAUGCAUAGAUAUGACUCAGAACACCAAUUGCGAAGGCAGCUUACUAACAUGUAACUGACGCUGAGGGACGAAAGCGUGGGGAGCGAACAGGAUUAGAUACCCUGGUAGUCCACGCCGUAAACGAUCAUCACUCGCUGUUGGCGAUAUACAGUCAGCGGCCAAGCGAAAGUAUUAAGUGAUGCACCUGGGGAGUACGCCGGCAACGGUGAAACUCAAAGGAAUUGACGGGGGCCCGCACAAGCGGUGGAGCAUGUGGUUUAAUUCGAUGAUACGCGAGGAACCUUACCAGGGCUUAAAUGUAGUUUGACCGGUCUGGAAACAGACUUUCUCUUCGGAGCAGAUUACAAGGUGCUGCAUGGUUGUCGUCAGCUCGUGCCGUGAGGUGUUAGGUUAAGUCCUGCAACGAGCGCAACCCCUAUUCUUAGUUGCCAGCGGUUCGGCCGGGGACUCUAAGAAGACUGCCAGCGCAAGCUGAGAGGAAGGUGGGGAUGACGUCAAAUCAUCACGGCCCUUACGUCCUGGGCUACACACGUGCUACAAUGGUAGAGACAGAGGGCAGCCACCUGGUGACAGGGAGCGAAUCCUUAAACUCUAUCUCAGUUCGGAUCGAAGUYUGCAACUCGACUUCGUGAAGCUGGAAUCGCUAGUAAUCGCGCAUCAGCCAUGGCGCGGUGAAUACGUUCCCGGGCCUUGUACACACCGCCCGUCAAGCCAUGGAAGCUGGGGGUACCUGAAGUCGGUAACCGUAAGGAGCUGCCUAGGGUAAAACUAGUGACCUGGGGCUAAGUCGUAACAAGGUAGCCG